GUGAUCAGCAUCUCUCCUUGUCCUUUUGAGACUCAGUAACAGCUUUGUCGAGUGGCUUGAUAAUUUUUGCGCAAAAUUCAGUUGGACUUCUGUGGUCAGCAACAUGUAAAAAUGACGUGGGAAGAUCUUCAGUUGAGGAACACAAGGGGGAACAAAACCAGGAAAGGACAGAAGGGAUGGAGGAGCCCUGCUUGCACCUGGCGCACUGCUCGGGGUCUCGGCAGUCAGACUCCUGCUCCAAGCCCUUCCUUCAGACUACUGCCUGACCUCAGGGAGAUGCCUACUUGCUGUGGACUGAGUCAGUGCCUGGUCUUGUGGUCCUUCAGCACUCCAUGGAGCUACUGCAUGCUUGCAGACUUGAGGCUGUUGGUAUGUCUUGUCCUGUCUAUUGUGUACAAGGACUUUACAGCCAACAUUGCAAAGCAGCGGCUUGGCUGUUCCCACUCUGUUUUGGCUGUUUUGGCCUAUUUGAGUGUGUGAACAAACAUGCAGCCUCCCCAGUGGGUCAGCAGGUCAGGAUGGAGCCAUAAGCACCUACUUGGGAGUACUUGGUGGCUCCUUUGAAAAAUCUCCCUGGACUUUUAUUGGAUCUUAGGAUACCACGAAGUAUCUGCCUGCAUCUGGGCUUUGAUUCUAGUACCUUUCCCUCAGAGACCACAACUGACAGCUCUCUUCUCAGGGAUAGGUAAGAAUGGGGCAGUGGUUGCGUUUUUAGGGUAGGGAGAGUGAAAGGCUGUUUGAGGCCACUGUCUGCAUGGGGGAGCUGCAGGGCUGGUGAGAAUGAUCAGGAAUCAUCUUAUUUCUCCUUCCCUGGUGUCCUUGGUUCAGCUGGGAUAGAGUUAAUUUUCACAGGAACCUGGGAGGGGGCACAGCUGGGACAGCUGACCUGAACUAGCCAAGGAGCUAUUCCAUACCAUGUG
rnacentral:lncRNA from 1 species